GACGAACGCUGGCGGCGUGCUUAACACAUGCAAGUCGAACGGAAAGGCCCUGCUUGUUUGGUGUUCUCGAUUGGCGAACGGGUGAGUAACACGUAAGUAACCUGCCCUUGACUUUGGUAUAACUUCAGGAAACUGGAGCUAAGACCAGAUAGGAGCUCCUGCUGCGUGGUAGGGGGUGGAAAGUUUCGGCUGGUGGGGAUGGACUAGCGGCUUAUCAGCUAGUUGGUGGGGUAGUGGCUUACCAAGGCUUUGACGGGUAGGCGGCACGAGAGGGUGAACGGCCACAAUGGGCCUGAGAUACGGACCAGACUCCUACGGGAGGCAGCAGUGGGGAAUAUUGCACAAUGGGAGCAAGCCUGAUGCAGAAACGUCGCGUUUGGGAUGACGGCCUUCGGGGUGUAAACAGCUUUCGCCUGUGACGAAGCGUGAGUGACGGUACUGGGUAAAGAAGCACCGGCUAACUACGUG
rnacentral:rRNA from 1 species